rnacentral:tRNA from 4 species
GCGCCCGUAGCUCAGGUGGAUAGAGCGCCGGUUUCCUAAACCGAAGGUCGCAGGUUCGAAUCCCGCCGGGCGCA